AACGCUGGCGGCGUGCCUAACACAUGCAAGUCGGGGGAGAAAGGGAGCUUCGGCUUCCGAGUAAACCGGCGCACGGGUGAGUAAUACGUAGGUAACGUACCUUCGAGUCCGGGAUAACCAGUCGAAAGAUUGGCUAAUACCGGAUACGACCGAGAGGGCCUCGGCCUUCACGGUGAAAGAUGGCCUCUGCAUGCAAGCUAUCACUCGAAGAGCGGCCUGCGCACCAUUAGCUUGUUGGUGAGGUAACGGCUCACCAAGGCCGAGAUGGUUAGCUGGUCUGAGAGGAUGGCCAGCCACACUGGGACUGAGACACGGCCCAGACUCCUACGGGAGGCAGCAGUGGGGAAUAUUGCGCAAUGGGCGAAAGCCUGACGCAGCGACGCCGCGUGGGUGAUGAAGGCCUUCGGGUCGUAAAGCCCUGUCGGGAGGGAAGAAACAUCCCCGACCCAAUACGUCGGGGACCUGACGGUACCUCCUAAGGAAGCACCGGCUAACUCCGUGCCAGCAGCCGCGGUAAUACGGAGGGUGCAAGCGUUGUUCGGAAUCACUGGG
rnacentral:rRNA from 1 species